AGUAAUCAAUGCAUGUUGGUCAUCGUGUUUGUGACAUCAUUAAUUAUUCUCGAGCCUUCACAUUUCCUUGUUUGAGAAAGGGUGUUUCCGGAAAUCUAGUGACAUGUCCAUUUCUCUUGCAUUUUCUGUUGGCCUUUCACGUGAUGAAUAGUUGACGGCCAAGCACGAUACAGCUAUAGCAUAGUUUUAGUGUCUGGUUUUCCAGCUUUUGUCGGCCCAUCUUGUCUGAGGGGAUUCGCCAAAUUACAAAUGUGCCCUGUUAGAAGCUACUCCCAUUAAAAAAAAAAUUAAAAGUGUACUUCACGACGAGAAGUAAUUUAAUUAGUGAGGCUCAAUUAAUAUUUUUAUUAAGUUAUUCGUUAAUUUAUUAUAAUUUUUUAAUAAAAUUAAUGGUAGGAAAAGCUUUCUCUCACUUAAAUUUUUUAUCCUUAAAAAAAAAAAAAGUGUACUUCCCUGAAUCCAAUAUUUCUUCCGCUAAUCCCCCAGGUCGUUAACUGCCCCGUAAUUGCAGCAAAAAUGUCGGUGAACAAUCUUGCUUGGAUUAUGUAUUAUUUAUCAUUUUAAUUAAGGAUAAUGCAUAACAAGUCAUUUUAUUAAAACGUAGUCGGGUUCUCAUGUGCUUCAUUAAUUAAUUAAUUAUUGUGCCACUGAAAAAUAAGUGUCCUACUCCAAAGGUUGGCUAAAGAGAGACAUUGACCAUAGCAUCCAAUGUGCAAAUAAAUGAAUUUGUCAAAUAGCGCAUUGAAAUUCAACUAAACAUGAUCAGUUAAUUAAGCCAUGCCCAUAUGCAUGAGUUGGCUGAUCAUAGCAUAGGCAUAUGGUUAAAGAAGUAUUAACACUUCUUCACAUUCCAGAUUCAGACUCCAGAUUUUCUUUCUGACAUGAUUUAUUUCCUUGCAUUUUCUGCUCUUGUUUAUGACCAUUAAAUUACUUCUGUUCCUGAAUCAGACUUUUACAAUUGGAACCGAGUAAAGCUUAGAUAUUGUGAUGGAGCCUCAUUUGGUGGAGAUGCCAAGUUUGACAACGGGGUAUCUGUUUCACCCAAGAUUUCUUCCUUUUUCUCUACAAGUUUUUAUGUUAUUUUCUUUACAUUCCUGGUAUGAGAUUUGUAUGAUCAAUCUGCUGAAUUUUCGCUUAUAGCUAAAGCAUUGGCCUAUUAUUUGUCAUACUUCUUCAAAAUCUGAUGAGCGUUGAUUAAGAUGUGGUUUGUGACAACGAAAAUAAACUGUCUAUUUAAAAAAAUAACAACAGUAACCUAUCUAUUAUUUUGAUAAAUUUUCAUUGCUACUGGAUUUUUUAGAAAUAUAAUAUCUAACAAAAUUUAAACCUGAAUUAUUAUUUUAAAAAAAUGAAAGAUUAUUAGGUGCUUUCAAUGUAAGCACACCUUCUUUCACGAUUACGUAGAUCUACUUUCCGUGUUAUAAAAGGAUCCACAUUUUUGUGAUAGAUAAAGAACUAUGUGCAUGUCCUAGAAAUGUUCUAUAAUCUUUCAAACCGGUUACUUGAGCAGCUUAUAAGCAGCCAUACAGUUUUGCUUUGUUAGGUAAGUGGAAGUUCUGUUUGAUUUUUGUUUCUUGCGCGAAAUUCUAUGACGCCACAUGUCAGAAAUAAUGGUAUACUUUGUAUGGUGUAUUACGGCCGUUUGGAUUUAAUAACUGAAGGAAAGCACUGUUCCUUUCGGAAACAACUAUUGAGAUUUCAUAUUUUCAUUGUUGUAAUUUGUAAACCAGCUCAUUGGUUGCUCCGGUAUCAAGGUAAAUAGUUGUAAGGCAUAUUUGUUGGGAGUCAUUAUGCCACAGAAUGAAACUUAAAAUGCCCUUUUGAUUGUAACUUAUGUACGCUUUACCAUAAAAGGCCAUAAGCUGUGCUUGAUUAACAUUACUUUUUUGUGUGCAUGAGACAGACGUCAGUCCUUUAUUUCAGAGGGCAAAAGAUUUGGGAAGCAAUUAUUCUUGACCUUCUCCCUAAAGGGAUGGGGCAGGCACGUAAGGCUUUGCUUUCAGGUUGCUCUGCUGGGGGUUUAUCAGCCUUUAUCCAUUGCGACAACUUUGCUAAGAUAUUACCAAAUGCCAGUGUGAAGUGCUUGAGUGAUGCAGGAUUUUUUCUUGAUGAAAAAGACGUCAGUUUGAACCACACUAUGAGGUCCUUCUAUGCAAAUCUUGUUACUCUGCAGGUACAGCACUUGACCUACCACUACCAUGCGUGACUAGGAAUAUGGAGCUACUUGUUUUAUGUUUCACAAAACUUCAAUCACACUUCACUACAUGUCUUCCUCAUUCUUUUUAUGUUAGCUUCUCUUUUGACAUCAUGACUUGAGUAAACUGUACAUUUGCACACUGUUGAUCCAAUCACUGAUGUCAUAUAAAAUGAAAUGCCUUCUUAUUUUUUCCUUUGUUAAACAGUAGACCGGAGCAUAUUCAUCCUAUGUUCUUCAAAGUUGCAACUAUGUCUUUGGUUUGUGAGUAAAAAACAUUAGGCUUCUCAUACGGUAGAUUUCAACUGUUGGAAUGUGCUUGAAUUUAACCAUCAGUCUGUAUCUUUGAUUCUUUAAGUGUUAGCUAGGGUUAGGGUUGGAAGAAUGGCAUCAUGGUUGUGUGCAGGUACGUGGUUAACGGAUAACCAAUUGAUAAAAGUAUUUUGAUGCAGCAUCUGAAUGCUAGAAUUGUUGGAUUUCAUGUUUAAAUAAUUGUAUGUUAGACAAUUAUAUGAAUUAUUAUGCACAAAAAUAAAAGACCUAAAUAUUAUAUUUAGUACAAAAAUGAAUAUCUGCUGUAUGUGCUUUAUAUCUUGCUAGUUUUAUUUAAUGUGGAAAUUCUUCAUGGCAGGGGGUUGAAAAGAAUCUCAACAAAAACUGCACCAAUUUCUUCAGCAAUAAUCCAAAACUGGUAAAAUUUUCUGAAGCCUCCUGUUACCUCCUACUCUUGCUUGCCGCUUGUUUCAUGUAAUGGUUAUGUUAUUUUUGUAUUUGUGCAGUGCAUCUUUCCACAGUAUGCAUUGAGGUUCAUUACAACACCAUUCUUCAUCUUGAAUGCAGCUUAUGAUGUGUACCAAGUAUACAUAUAGUAGCCUUGUUCAUCUUAAUAGUGAAUUUACAUAACAUGCAACUUUGAAAUCACAAUUGUAUACACUAUAAGCUCAUUAAAAAAUAUUGACUGAUUGAAAUUUUAAUCUUUAACAGUUCAACCAUAUAUUGGUGCCUCCUUCUGCUGACUUGCUUGGACAAUGGAAGAGUUGUAAGCUUAAUACAGCAGAAUGUAAUGCAGAACAGAUAAACAUAUUGCAAGGAUUCAGGGGAGAUAUGCUGGUAGCCUUGAGAUUUUUCUUCAAAAAUUCCAGUCAGGGAGGAAUGUUUAUAAAUUCAUGCUUUGCUCAUUGCCAAAGUGAGUCACAGGACACAUGGUUUGCAGUUGACUCCCCUAGGAUACACAACAAGACUAUUGCAAAAGCAGUUGGUGAUUGGUAUUUUAAUAGAGAUGUAACCAAACAGAUUGAUUGUCCGUAUCCUUGUGACACUACCUGCCAUAACCUCAUACCAACAGCUCUGGUCCCAUAGAUGGUUUCAAAAUAUACACGGAGAAAAUAUUUAUUCUUGCAAGUUUUCCUCUUUCUUCGAGUAUUGAAGAUAGUGGAGUAUACAGAAAUGGGAAAGAGUAUAGGAAGAGAUACUAAAAGGAAGUGAAGAUAGCGAUUCAUGGAUAUUUAAGGAAAUUUUAUAGCAGAAGAAAUCGUAAAUGAAUCGAAAAGUACAGAUUCAGAGUUUUACAAGUUUAGCAGGAGGCUUAAAAGCAAAGAAGAAAAUUUGAAUUGUUGUAUUAGCCUGAACAAUCAAGGAGUAAACAUGUUCGCAUUCAUAAUUGUUGAAUGAAAUUGAUUCUGGUUUAUAAAUGAUGAGAUAUUGAAAGGGCCAUUUUUAUUGCUCAAUCAUUUGAUUUGCCCUGAAAUCAAAACUUAGUGAUGCGCAUUCACAGUCAGAUAUUAGUUUGAUUUCCCUUUUCAGACAAAAAGAAAUGUAAAAAAAAAAGAAAAGAAAAGAAAAAAAAAAAAAAAAAAAGAAAGGAAAAGAAUUAGGUAAAAAAAUAUAUAUACAUAGUAAAUGAUGAGUUUACUUUCAGAAAUCUGAAGAAACGAAGUGGAUUCAGAUACUUUAUUGAAAGUAUAUAAAUAUAUAUUAUGUAAUUUAACAUAUAAAUUAUAUGAUUAUUGUUGAAAAUAUUGAUUACCCAAUUAUCUAAAUUAGUUAGCUUUGUUUGCUAUACUUUUCUUUCAAAUCAUGGUAGUGAUUUUGAUGGUAACUUUUGAUUUUUAAGAUAACAAAAUUGAGAUUGUCCUGAAGUUUUGGGUUUCAGAUCUUAAUCAGAGUUAAUUAUAUUAAAAAAAUUAAUUAAAUGAAAACAAGAAGGCAAUUCUACUGCCGAAAAGUUGAAUUAUGAGAGUUGUUAAUUUUCCAAUUCAUAGGGCAGAAAAGAUGAGAAGAUAGCGAUUUAUUUGGUGGGACGCGACUCUGAUGGAUAAUGAGAGGUGAGAGAAAUGGUAGUGGGCUUGUUGUGAGGUCGCAAUCCUUGAUCUUUCAUGGGGAAACAUGUAAUGUCUGUGUGGAUUAAUGGUAAUGAAUUUGGUUGGAUAACUAAAUUCUGGGUGUUUAUAAAAAGCCCAUUUGAUCAAAACAACUGGCUUCUGAAAAUUCAAAUCCAAAAACAUUGUCAUUUUCAUAACAGUUUCAAGAUUUAAUCACAGCACUUGAUAUUGGUACCAUAGAAUAUGACGUUUUUGGAAUCCUUUCUUAUCAAAUCCAUGGAGUCCUAUUCCUGAAUUCCGUGUACGUGUAUUUUACUUAAGG
rnacentral:misc_RNA from 1 species